rnacentral:rRNA from 1 species
GAUGAACGCUGGCGGCGUGCCUAAUACAUGCAAGUCGAGCGAAUGGAUUAAGAGCUUGCUCUUAUGAAGUUAGCGGCGGACGGGUGAGUAACACGUGGGUAACCUGCCCAUAAGACUGGGAUAACUCCGGGAAACCGGGGCUAAUACCGGAUAACAUUUUGAACCGCAUGGUUCGAAAUUGAAAGGCGGCUUCGGCUGUCACUUAUGGAUGGACCCGCGUCGCAUUAGCUCGUUGGUGAGGUAACGGCUCACCAAGGCAACCAUGCGUAGCCGACGGGAGAGGUAGAUCGGCCACACGGGGACUGAGACACGGCCCAGACUCCUACGGGAGGCAGCAGUAGGGAAUCUUCCGCAAUGGACGAAAGUCUGACGGAGCAACGCCGCGUGAGUGAUGAAGGCUUUCGGGUCGUAAAACUCUGUUGUUAGGGAAGAACAAGUGCUAGUUGAAUAAGCUGGCACCUUGACGGUACCUAACCAGAAAGCCACGGCUAACUACGUGCCAGCCGCCGCAGUAA